rnacentral:rRNA from 1 species
UAACAAGGAUUCCCCUAGUAACUGCGAGUGAAGCGGGAAAAGCUCAAAUUUAAAAUCUGGCGGUCCUUGCGGUCGUCCGAGUUGUAAUCUGGAGAAGUGCUUUCCGUGCUGGACCGUGUACAAGUCUCUUGGAACAGAGCGUCGUAGAGGGUGAGAAUCCCGUCUUUGACACGGACUACCAGUGCUUUGUGAUGUGCUCUCAAAGAGUCGAGUUGUUUGGGAAUGCAGCUCAAAAUGGGUGGUAAAUUCCAUCUAAAGCUAAAUAUUGGCGAGAGACCGAUAGCGAACAAGUACCGUGAGGGAAAGAUGAAAAGAACUUUGGAAAGAGAGUUAAACAGUACGUGAAAUUGCUGAAAGGGAAACGCUUGAAGUCAGUCGCGUUGGCCGGAACUCAGCCUUGCUUUUGCUUGGUGCACUUUCUGGUUGACGGGUCAGCAUCAGUUUUGAUUGUCGGAUAAUGGCUGAGGGAAUGUGGCAUCUUCGGAUGUGUUAUAGCCCUUGGUCGCAUACGAUGGUUGGGACUGAGGAUCUCAGCACACCUUUAUGGUCGGGGUUCGCCCACGUUUGUGCUUAGGAUGCUGGCAUAAUGGCUUUAAACGAC